UACGUAGGGUGCGAGCGUUAAUCGGAAUUACUGGGCGUAAAGCGUGCGCAGGCGGUCUGUUAAGACAGAUGUGAAAUCCCCGGGCUUAACCUGGGAACUGCAUUUGUGACUGGCAGGCUAGAGUAUGGCAGAGGGGGUAGAAUUCCACGUGUAGCAGUGAAAUGCGUAGAGAUGUGGAGGAAUACCGAUGGCGAAGGCAGCCCCCUGGGCCAAUACUGACGCUGAGGCACGAAAGCGUGGGGAGCAAACAGG
rnacentral:rRNA from 1 species